UACGUAGGGUGCGAGCGUUAAUCGGAAUUACUGGGCGUAAAGCGUGCGCAGGCGGUUUUAUAAGCCAGAUGUGAAAUCCCCGGGCUUAACCUGGGAAUGGCAUUUGGGACUGCAAGGCUGGAGUGCGGCAGAGGAGACUGGAAUUCCUGGUGUAGCAGUGAAAUGCGUAGAUAUCAGGAGGAACACCGAUGGCGAAGGCAGGUCUCUGGGCUGACACUGACGCUCAUGCACGAAAGCGUGGGGAGCAAACAGG
rnacentral:rRNA from 1 species